GGUAUGGUUCUUCGGAACCAGAGACCGGCGCACGGGUGCGUAACGCGUAUGCAAUCUACCUUUCACAGAGGGAUAGCCCAGAGAAAUUUGGAUUAAUACCUCAUAGCAUAAUGAGUUGGCAUCAACACAUUAUUAAAGUCACAACGGUGAAAGAUGAGCAUGCGUCCCGUUAGCUAGUUGGUAAGGUAACGGCUUACCAAGGCUACGAUGGGUAGGGGUCCUGAGAGGGAGAUCCCCCACACUGGUACUGAGACACGGACCAGACUCCUACGGGAGGCAGCAGUGAGGAAUAUUGGUCAAUGGGCGCAAGCCUGAACCAGCCAUGCCGCGUGCAGGAUGACGGUCCUAUGGAUUGUAAACUGCUUUUGUACGGGAAGAAACACUCCGACGUGUCGGAGCUUGACGGUACCGUAAGAAUAAGGAUCGGCUAACUCCGUGCCAGCAGCCGCGGUAAUACGGAGGAUCCAAGCGUUAUCCGGAAUCAUUGGGUUUAAAGGGUCCGUAGGCGGUUUAGUAAGUCAGUGGUGAAAGCCCAUCGCUCAACGGUGGAACGGCCAUUGAUACUGCUAGACUUGAAUUAUUGGGAAGUAACUAGAAUAUGUAGUGUAGCGGUGAAAUGCUUAGAGAUUACAUGGAAUACCAAUUGCGAAGGCAGGUUACUACCAAUGGAUUGACGCUGAUGGACGAAAGCGUGAGUAGCGAACAGGAUU
rnacentral:rRNA from 1 species